AGACAUGGGAGAGACACGCAAGCUGCAAAGGGAAGCAGAGUCAAAUUAAAGCCUCCCAACCACGGCUCGUGGCGCUGCGGAUGGGGCGUCCCUCCCUCCCUCCCUCGGCUUGAUGAAGGUGGGUGUGAGAUCCCACAGGACUGUCUGGAAGAGAGCCCGUGGAAGUCACUGUAUUUUGCAGAAGCUGGAGGCGAAGCAGAAGGUUGCAGCCUGACACUUCUGCCUCUUUUCCCUCUGGGUAUAUCUUACUGGGUCUUUGCAGGUCAUGGCUGGACUGUUGUGGUGGGGUAACUGAAACAAACCGAAGAGACUGAUGGAAAAAAAAUCAAAAAGCAAGGGCGGGAUUUCAAAGCCUGGAUCAUAGAAGAAGGAAUGCUGCAUGACAAAUUCCAGCUGUAACAGUGUUCCACACUCCCACCCGAGUCAUCUGGUAAGGUACUGCUAGAUACCUCUAUCGACCAUAAGUUAGAAGCAAUGCUGUUACCAUAGCAAAGGAAGGACUUUCUUCAAAGCCUAGAAGAUAAGUUUGAUUUGUGUGGCCAUGUAAUAGUGUCUAAAUGCCCUCUUUUCUACUUAAGUUUAAAGAAAAAAAAAAGAGAAAAUAUUCAAAGACACUACUUAGAAAUCUUUAUUAAUGGCCCCUGAAAUCUAGGAUCUGGUAUAUAUGAUUUUGAGCCAAAAGAAAAGAAAUUUCUAUAGAUGGGUUAUUAAAGCAGCCUGUGGCAGAAGAAGAAGAGGGUGUUCCAGUUAGUGACCAGAUAGCAGGAUAAACAGUAGGAAUGUGAAGUCAUUUUGGAGGGGUGGGGGAGGGUAUAGGGCACUUUUGGGAUAGCAUUUAAAAUGU
ensembl:lincRNA